CACGAUACAAUGAGCGGGUAGC
rnacentral:miRNA from 14 species